CGUGCGCAGAGGCCUUGCUCGGGGGCCGCGCUCCCGGCCGUAGGGGAGGCUCCGGGGCCGAGGCCGCGCGUGUCGGUGGAACUUGGGGCGCUACUGUUUUAUUCCCGUGACAAACUUAAGAACCAAGACCGAGUCGGCGGGACUUCUACGCGGCGAGCGUCACCUGCGGUCGGCCUCGAAAGCACAGUCGUCUUCGGAUCGAUUGCAUGUCACUGAGAGCUUGGGUGGGUCUGUCCCACCGUGUAGAGUCAGCCCCGCCAGCCCUGGCUCCCCCAGGUCUCUCCUUGAAGUGUCCUUGAAGACACAGAAAGAGACAUAGGCAGAGGGAGAAGCAGAGUUCCUGCAGGGAGACAGAUGAGGGCCUCGAUUCCAGGACCCCAGGAUCAUGACCUGAG